UACAGAGGGGGCAAGCGUUAUUCGGAAUUAUUGGGCGUAAAGGGCGCGUAGGCGGCUUGGCAAGUGGAUGGUGAAAUCCCUCGGCUUAACCGAGGAACUGCCGUCCAAACUGCUUUGCUUGAGGCCGGGAGAGGUGAGUGGAAUUCACAGUGUAGCGGUGAAAUGCGUAGAUAUUGGGAGGAACACCAGUGGCGAAGGCGGCUCACUGGACCGGUUCUGACGCUGAAGCGCGAAAGCGUGGGGAGCAAACGGG
rnacentral:rRNA from 1 species